UUUAUAUACAAAAGUCACGUUUUAUGUUAAAAUAAUAUUCUAAGGAAUUCACAAAAAAUAUGCCUUUUACAGAAAUAAGCACAAUAUAUAUGUAUUUAGAAUGUAGUUUGAUUCACCUCAAAAUUCUUUUAGCUUUUUAAAUUUCUAGUCUAUGUUUUUUUUUAGAUAGAAUAUAAUGUUUUAACACUUAAGCAAUAGUGUAGAAAGUAGAAAGAAACUAGUUAUAGGUUUAUAAUUAGGUAAAAAAUAGGAAUGUUAAGAUUACCUAUUAUAACAAAAAAUUGAUAUACUGUUGAAUAUUUAUUCCAUUUAUUAGUUCAUAAUAGAGAAAUGAAAUCACACCCUCUACUUGAUGCGUAAGAGACAGUCGAAUUUUGCACACAACUUCUAGCUUAAAACAAGGUAGUUGAGAUAUAUAUUCAUGACUUAUUUUUAACAGCACAUGAUUUGCUUUGCUUUGCUCAAUUAUUGUUAAGAGCCAUAUUUUUAUUAUUCUUUAUUUUCAUCUAUAUGUAAUAGAUAGCUUAUUAUUUUUAUUCUAUAUAUAAAUUAAUCUGAACUUUUUUUCCAUUUGUUGCUUUUUUGAAUGUGUACAGAUGGGUUAUUUCACUAGGUGUUAUAACAAACAACUAUUUAACUUGUCUUUCUGUAUUAUUUAGCCAAAUACAAACUGUGAUAUAUAUUUAAUGUGAUUGUAGAUUAUUACUUUGUUUGAUGUCUGUCAUAUUGACUGUAGCAUUAUGGGAUAUAUUAUAAGGUGUCUGCCAUAUUGGCUGUGGACACCUGGGAUAUAUUGUUAGGUGUCUGCCAUACUGAAUCGCGACACCUGAUAUAUAUUAUUAGGUGUCUUCUAUAUUGGCUGUGGACACCUGGGAUAUAUUAUUAGGUGUCCUCUAUAUUGGCUGUGGACAUCUGUGAUAUAUUAUUAGGUGUCAGCCAUAUUGGCGGUGGACACCUGGGAUAUAUUAUUAGGUGUCUGCCAAUUUGACUGUGGACACCUGGGAUAUUCUGACUAUAAUAUAUAAUGUGUGGCUGUAGAAGAUACUUGUUUGUAAAUGUUGUUUACUGUAUAAUUUGUUUUUCAGUACAAUAAAUUGUUAAAAC
rnacentral:lncRNA from 1 species